CAGGGCAAAACCUCCAUUGGCAUGCAGCCACACUAAGAUUCUCUAUCCUUGUUGUGCAUUCCUAUAGUGUGCUCCAUGCCAAAGGAGAUUUGCCCGG
rnacentral:pre_miRNA from 1 species